rnacentral:lncRNA from 1 species
AAAAGUGUUGUUUAUGAAAAUAGUACGAUGAGUUAAGCAUAACAUUUAACUGUCGGCUAAAAUACCUUGUUAUUUUAUUCACACUCUUACAUACACUAAACCUGAUAUGCUGACAUAUACCUGAGAUUACAAUCUACCAGGUACAUUGUGUACCUGUGACAUUGCACACGAGGUCACGUGGGACGUAAGUGGGACGAUUCAUGAAAUGCCCCUUCUCGACAUCCAGCGUUCACAUUCCUGACGAAGGUAGAGUGGAAGUGCUGUUUGGCAGAACAGAAAGGGUUCAAAUUCCUGACGAAGGUAGAGUGGAAGUGCUGUUUGGCAGAACAGAAAGGAGACACGGGUGUGGAAUCCCCACGUGCACAAAUGCAUGGUGCAUGAGUGUGAAGAGGUUCUUUGAGGUGUACACGUUUGACGCGAGAAGAAGUUGAGUAUUUGGAGGUGAAUUCAGUAUCGAUGUGGAAUGAACAUCUUAACUUGGACGGUUGGGCUCUAUUCCAUCUUCCAGUUCGUACCAGUGACCAGUGAAGUUGGAGGCGGGCACAGUGGUAGUAACAAGUGGGGACCUGCAUGUGUCAAGAACUGUCCAUCUAAUUGUCGCCCUUAUUACAACAUAGUCCACUGUAAUGCCACUACGGGAGCGUGUCUGGAAGGUUGUAACUUGAGUAUUUGGAGAUGAAUUCAGUAUCGAUGUGGAAUGAACAUCUUAACUUGGACGGUUGGGCUCUAUUCCAUCUUCCAGUUCGUACCAGUGACCAGUGAAGUUGGAGGUGGACACUGUGGUAGUAACAAGUGGGGACCUGCAUGUGUCAAGAGCUGUCCAUCUAACUGUCGCCCUUUUCACGAUAUCGUUCACUGUGAUUUCACUACAGGAGAGUGUCUGGAAGGUUGUGACGUGGGCUAUCAUGAUACCUUCUGUCGCACACAAUGCAACUCUAACUGCAUCAACAACACCUGUAACCAAGUAGAUGGCGAGUGUUCCAUUGGGUGCAAGAAUGGGACAUCGUGUAUAGUUACAACGCCACCAAUUGCAACAAACAAGUCUAAUACUGAUAUCACGCAGACUCAUAGCGAUUUCACUAGCUGCCUCGGUGUUUCCUUAACCAUCAUAGUGACUGUGAUUUUAAAUGCACUGUCAGCAUUGUUUGUAUAUGCCAUAUGGCGCAGACGCAGACGCAGACACCAAAUACGGAGAAACAAGAGGACUGAUGAAGGUCGUGCAGAGGAAACGGUUGAGAUGAACCGACUGGAUACUGAAUACAGCAAUUGAUUCUUUCAGCACAAAUAUUGUUCCUUUCUGCAAGUAUGGAUGAAUGCCGAUUAUUUCGUUACGUCGUAUUGUUGACAAUGGUUGUUGGUAUACAGGCUCAACAAUGCCCAGCUGGUUUCUAUGGUAGCAGGUGCCAGCAUCCGUGUCCAAGGAAUUGCAAUAGCCAGCAAUGCAACAUUGACAAAUUUGGUCGAACUGUUUGUACCUACGGAUGUGUGGAUGGAUACAGAGGCACCUCGUGCAGAAUCCCCUGUCCAGUGAAUUGUCAAGUGUGUGAACGUGUCAACGGCAGCUGUAUUAACUGUAAGGAUCCCUUUCAUGGUACAAACUGUACUCUCACAUGUGAAGAGUUGUGCCAGGGAUUCCGGUGUGACACAGACCAGACUUGCUCUAAAACGACGUGUCUUGACGGGCAGUAUGGACAGAACUGCAGUAACAAGUGUUAUCCCCAGUACCUGACAUGUACCCGAUCUACUGGAGGCUGCACUGCCUGCAGAGAUGGUUACUAUGGACAGUUCUGUGAGCUGGAUUGUCCUCGGUGCGGCUUUACAGACGGUAGUGUGGAUCAGACAUGUAAAGAUGGAUGCAACACGAUUUCAUGUUCAGACAUCACAGGCGGCGACUGUGGAAGGAAUAUACCGCUGACUGUGUUUGUUCCUGUGGUUCUGCUGCUGGUCAUUGCAAUCGUUGUGAUACUGUGUCUGUGGUGGCGCAUACACAAGAAGAUCAUGUAAGUGGACUUGUUCACUCAACCUUAUCUACCAAAGUUCGGGACAUGGUUUUGAGUGCAAAGAGAUUGAAUUGAAAACGUGGUGAAUGCAUACAAUUUAAUCAGGCGAGUCGACCAUGCAGACAGUGUGGUGAACAAUGU